rnacentral:rRNA from 1 species
UUUUUUUCGUCGAUUGAACGCUGGCGGCAGGCCUAACACAUGCAAGUCGAGCGGUAGCACAGAGAGCUUGCUCUCGGGUGACGAGCGGCGGACGGGUGAGUAAUGUCUGGGAAACUGCCUGAUGGAGGGGGAUAACUACUGGAAACGGUAGCUAAUACCGCAUAAUGUCGCAAGACCAAAGUGGGGGACCUUCGGGCCUCAUGCCAUCAGAUGUGCCCAGAUGGGAUUAGCUAGUAGGUGGGGUAACGGCUCACCUAGGCGACGAUCCCUAGCUGGUCUGAGAGGAUGACCAGCCACACUGGAACUGAGACACGGUCCAGACUCCUACGGGAGGCAGCAGUGGGGAAUAUUGCACAAUGGGCGCAAGCCUGAUGCAGCCAUGCCGCGUGUGUGAAGAAGGCCUUCGGGUUGUAAAGCACUUUCAGCGGGGAGGAAGGCGUUAAGGUUAAUAACCUUGUCGAUUGACGUUACCCGCAGAAGAAGCACCGGCUAACUCCGUGCCAGCAGCCGCGGUAAUACGGAGGGUGCAAGCGUUAAUCGGAAUUACUGGGCGUAAAGCGCACGCAGGCGGUCUGUCAAGUCGGAUGUGAAAUCCCCGGGCUCAACCUGGGAACUGCAUUCGAAACUGGCAGGCUAGAGUCUUGUAGAGGGGGGUAGAAUUCCAGGUGUAGCGGUGAAAUGCGUAGAGAUCUGGAGGAAUACCGGUGGCGAAGGCGGCCCCCUGGACAAAGACUGACGCUCAGGUGCGAAAGCGUGGGGAGCAAACAGGAUUAGAUACCCUGGUAGUCCACGCCGUAAACGAUGUCGAUUUGGAGGUUGUGCCCUUGAGGCGUGGCUUCCGGAGCUAACGCGUUAAAUCGACCGCCUGGGGAGUACGGCCGCAAGGUUAAAACUCAAAUGAAUUGACGGGGGCCCGCACAAGCGGUGGAGCAUGUGGUUUAAUUCGAUGCAACGCGAAGAACCUUACCUGGUCUUGACAUCCACAGAACUUUCCAGAGAUGGAUUGGUGCCUUCGGGAACUGUGAGACAGGUGCUGCAUGGCUGUCGUCAGCUCGUGUUGUGAAAUGUUGGGUUAAGUCCCGCAACGAGCGCAACCCUUAUCCUUUGUUGCCAGCGGUUCGGCCGGGAACUCAAAGGAGACUGCCAGUGAUAAACUGGAGGAAGGUGGGGAUGACGUCAAGUCAUCAUGGCCCUUACGACCAGGGCUACACACGUGCUACAAUGGCAUAUACAAAGAGAAGCGACCUCGCGAGAGCAAGCGGACCUCAUAAAGUAUGUCGUAGUCCGGAUUGGAGUCUGCAACUCGACUCCAUGAAGUCGGAAUCGCUAGUAAUCGUAGAUCAGAAUGCUACGGUGAAUACGUUCCCGGGCCUUGUACACACCGCCCGUCACACCAUGGGGAGUGGGUUGCAAAAGAAGUAGGUAGCUUAACCUUCGGGAGGGCGCUUACCACUUUGUGAUUCAUGACUGGGGU